rnacentral:lncRNA from 1 species
CUUGGGUUUGAAAACACCCCAAUCACAAAUAUGUUUAGUUACCCAUGAAAUAUUCACAAAUAACUAACAAAUUCUUACAAAAAAUUGAUGGAAAAUAUGAGAAGAAAAAUUUAUUGAUAAAGAGAGAAAUAGUUGAGAAUUCUUCAAUAUUAAUGGUUCUCCUUUUCCAAGCUAUUGCACCAUCUCCAUGUUCCAAUCUUUUCCAAAAUUGUGCAAGAAAUACUAGGUGAAAAGGAAGAAAGAAAAACAAAAAGAAAAGAAAUGCAAAAGAAAAUCAGCAAGCAAAACGUGCUGGCCUGCUGCUGAAGCUUCAAUGGAAGAAAAGUCACUUUCUUUUUGCUGAUUUUUGCCUUUUAUAUUAAAACCUAAGAGAAAUUACAACUAGGUCCCUGAAUUAAAAGAAAUACAAAUAACUCGAGUGGCGCCAAAUUCUGCCCAAAAAUGGGCAGAAUCUGGGCGCUGCAGCGCCCAUCAUUCUGGCCAAUUUUAUUUUUUUUAACAUCGGCUCGUCUUCAAGGUUCCUUUUCAUUUUUCUUUAUCUUUUUCGUUUUUUCUCACAUAAUUUCUUUCAAACAUUUUCACCUAUACAAUAAAAACAACUAAAUUAAGUAAUAAAUCACUAAUGAAAUUCACAAAUAUCUAUGUUUAAUGGCCCGAAUAAGUGCAAAAACCCGCACUUAUCAAAGAUCAUGUCUAUUUGAGAAUCUAACAAGGGAUCUAUAUAUGACACUGACAUGCAAAAUAGACAAGGCAAAAAAACAUAAUUCAUUGGUAUCCAUACACCAAAGGUUUUCUUUUUUCCACAGAAAACAUGAGCUUCCAUUUUAAAUGCAAUAAAAUGUAACCUUCAGAGACUUUACUAAAAGUUAAUUGGAAUUUGGAAGAAAAUGUUCAAAGUGAAACCCAAGCAAGCAACCAUAAGAAGAAAAGUCUACACAGGCUUACAAAAUGAAUAACAAUAGCCAAAUGCAUGUAACAAGUGAUUAGAAAUUCAAGCAACGUAAGAGAAUGAUAAAAAUAAAAAAAUAAAAAACAGUCAAGGAGGUAGACACAACAGGAAAGUGG